CCAGCCACACACCGGACCACCAGGGACCCACUGAACCACCGUGAAAUGAAUUAUUGCCUCCUCUGCCUGCACAGAAGGUAAGCAGGAGGGGGCAAAGCAAAAUAUAUUAAAUGUAUUUUAAGUCUGCCACAUACCCUAUCACAUUAACCCUCUAACCACCUAACCCUGUCUCUGUAGCCCCCCCUAACCCUGAUGUGUGCAUAAAUGUGUAAAUGCAUUGUUCAAUGAGUAAGUAGAGCAGGAGUGUAUAUGUUCAUGUGUUAAUUUAAGGGUUUGCUUAUUUUGAAGUUGAAUGCAGUGGUGUAUUUUUGUGGAGGACUUGUGUGUGUGCACACAGUGGAGUGCUGUUGUAUGAAUGCCAGUGUAUAUUAGUA